rnacentral:rRNA from 1 species
GACGAACGCUGGCGGCGUGCUUAACACAUGCAAGUCGAACGGAAAGGCCCUGCUUUUGUGGGCUGCUCGAGUGGCGAACGGGUGAGUAACACGUGAGUAACCUGCCCUUGACUUUGGGAUAACUUCAGGAAACUGGGGCUAAUACCGGAUAGGAGCUCCUGCUGCUUGUUGGGGGUUGGAAAUUUUCGGCGGUUGGGGAUGGACGCGCGGCUUAUCAGCUUGUUGGUGGGGUAGUGGCUUACCAAGGCUUUGACGGGUAGCCGGCCUGAGAGGGUGACCGGCCACAGUGGGACUGAGGUACGGCCCAGAGGCAUACGGGAGGAAGCAGUGGGAAAUAGUGCACGAUGGGCGGAAGCCUGAUGCAGCAGCGCCGGGUGCGAGAUGACGGCCUUCGGGUUAUAAACCGCUUUCGCCUGUGACGAAGCGUGAGUGACGGUAAUGGGUAAAGAAGCACCGGCUAACUACGUG